AGAUCAUGCAGGCAAUAGAGCUGUAUGCGUAGAACACAUAGAGAGGCUUGAGGACCAUUGGAGGGAAAACGGGUGCAGAAGAAUUGAUAACUGCAGUCAACACUUGGACAGAUAACAUCACUUUUGUAGCACAUGAAGAACUAAUACCUUACAUUUCAGAAGGUCUUCCCUACAGGAGUAUUACCUAACUUCAAGCUUCAUAUGACAGCAGCUGAAGAAUACUGCAACAUCUUACAUAAUACCUCACAUGUUGCUGUGGAUUUCAGAUUUCUUAAGGAGGCCAUUUGGUAAAGUUUACUCAUCAGAA